rnacentral:rRNA from 1 species
AAAUUGAAGAGUUUGAUCAUGGCUCAGAUUGAACGCUGGCGGCAGGCCUAACACAUGCAAGUCGAACGGUAACAGGAAACAGCUUGCUGUUUCGCUGACGAGUGGCGGACGGGUGAGUAAUGUCUGGGAAACUGCCUGAUGGAGGGGAUAACUACUGGAAACGGUAGCUAAUACCGCAUAACGUCGCAAGACCAAAGAGGGGGACCUUCGGGCCUCUUGCCAUCGGAUGUGCCCAGAUGGGAUUAGCUUGUUGGUGGGGUAACGGCUCACCAAGGCGACGAUCCCUAGCUGGUCUGAGAGGAUGACCAGCCACACUGGAACUGAGACACGGUCCAGACUCCUACGGGAGGCAGCAGUGGGGAAUAUUGCACAAUGGGCGCAAGCCUGAUGCAGCCAUGCCGCGUGUAUGAAGAAGGCCUUCGGGUUGUAAAGUACUUUCAGCGGGGAGGAAGGGAGUAAAGUUAAUACCUUUGCUCAUUGACGUUACCCGCAGAAGAAGCACCGGCUAACUCCGUGCCAGCAGCCGCGGUAAUACGGAGGGUGCAAGCGUUAAUCGGAAUUACUGGGCGUAAAGCGCACGCAGGCGGUUUGUUAAGUCAGAUGUGAAAUCCCCGGGCUCAACCUGGGAACUGCAUCUGAUACUGGCAAGCUUGAGUCUCGUAGAGGGGGGUAGAAUUCCAGGUGUAGCGGUGAAAUGCGUAGAGAUCUGGAGGAAUACCGGUGGCGAAGGCGGCCCCCUGGACGAAGACUGACGCUCAGGUGCGAAAGCGUGGGGAGCAAACAGGAUUAGAUACCCUGGUAGUCCACGCCGUAAACGAUGUCGACUUGGAGGUUGUGCCCUUGAGGCGUGGCUUCCGGAGCUAACGCGUUAAGUCGACCGCCUGGGGAGUACGGCCGCAAGGUUAAAACUCAAAUGAAUUGACGGGGGCCCGCACAAGCGGUGGAGCAUGUGGUUUAAUUCGAUGCAACGCGAAGAACCUUACCUGGUCUUGACAUCCACAGAACUUUCCAGAGAUGGAUUGGUGCCUUCGGGAACUGUGAGACAGGUGCUGCAUGGCUGUCGUCAGCUCGUGUUGUGAAAUGUUGGGUUAAGUCCCGCAACGAGCGCAACCCUUAUCCUUUGUUGCCAGCGGUCCGGCCGGGAACUCAAAGGAGACUGCCAGUGAUAAACUGGAGGAAGGUGGGGAUGACGUCAAGUCAUCAUGGCCCUUACGACCAGGGCUACACACGUGCUACAAUGGCGCAUACAAAGAGAAGCGACCUCGCGAGAGCAAGCGGACCUCAUAAAGUGCGUCGUAGUCCGGAUUGGAGUCUGCAACUCGACUCCAUGAAGUCGGAAUCGCUAGUAAUCGUGGAUCAGAAUGCCACGGUGAAUACGUUCCCGGGCCUUGUACACACCGCCCGUCACACCAUGGGAGUGGGUUGCAAAAGAAGUAGGUAGCUUAACCUUCGGGAGGGCGCUUACCACUUUGUGAUUCAUGACUGGGGUGAAGUCGUAACAAGGUAACCGUAGGGGAACCUGCGGUUGGAUCACCUCCUUACCUUAAAGAAGC